rnacentral:rRNA from 1 species
AGAGUUUCGUAUCCUGGCUCAGGACGAACGGCUGGCGGCGUGCCUAACACAUGCAAGUCGAACGGGACGUAUGCAAGAUGAAGUUUUCGGAUGGAAUUUUGUAUAGUUUAGUGGCGGACGGGUGAGUAACACGUGAGCAACCUGCCUUCGAGAGGGGAAUAACGGCUGGAAACGGUCGCUAAUACCGCAUAACAUACAGAGGGACAUCCCUUUUGUAUCAAAGAUUUAUCGCUCGAAGAUGGGCUCGCGUCCGAUUAGGUAGUUGGUGAGGUAAUGGCCCACCAAGCCGACGAUCGGUAGCCGGACUGAGAGGUUGAACGGCCACAUUGGGACUGAGACACGGCCCAGACUCCUACGGGAGGCAGCAGUGGGGGAUAUUGCACAAUGGGGGAAACCCUGAUGCAGCGACGUCGCGUGUAGGAAGACGGUCCUCUGGAUUGUAAACUACUGUCCCCAGGGACGAAGAUGACGGUACCUGGGGAGGAAGCUCCGGCUAACUACGUG